CAUUAUUCUUUAACAGCAGUUUAUUUUACUUAAGUUGAAAGCAGUAGAGAGAGCAAGAUGACAAAUUUAGCACUUUAAAGUGGAGGGAAGCCCUAUGUGAAUAAAUUAAAGCAGUUCUACCAGAGAUGAGAAGAUACUACAGACACUGCCAUUGAGUCAGACGUCAUCAUUUGUGGCAAGAGAUCAUGCUACUGAGUCAUGCUCUUUGUGUGCUGCAACUCUCAUGCGAAAUGUGCACUAAAGCUGCAGGCGAUGUUUGAGUUUCCCGUUGCCAACAUAUGGGUUAAACCACCUCAGGAGUCUAGUCUGGACACAGUGAACAUGCUCCAAAACCGCACAGAUGUUGCAUGUCUUUUGCAGAGCAGAGAAAGUUCAUCUGAUCCUUACAGUGGACCUUACACUGCUGGCUCUCAAAAGUGAGACUGCGAAGAGGAACACUAUGUUUUAAUGAGAUUAGCUUUUGAGCGAGGUUCUGAAAAUCUUUUAAUCUGUAUAUUUGUAAUUCUGGGAAGUCAGAAUGCUGCUUGUUUACAAUUAAAUGAUCAGAGUACACAUGAUGGCAUAAAUCAGCAUUAUGGUGACUGUUUGGAAUUAUAAAAGUGACUUCUUAAAAAAGACUUCUGAGAAUCAGACUGUGUUUCAAAUCACAAACUUACAGUUUAAUAUGCCAAAAAAAAAGUAUGUACUUCACUAGUGAUGAGGAAGUACAUACUUUUGAGUAGUAAAUAAGAAAGUAUGCCAGUAUGUUGGGACAUACCCGAAAAACAGAAAAUGUUUCUUCUUACACUAUUCCAUUUUCAUGUAGCUAACUAAAUUGAUUUCUCUUAAAUUAUUUUUAUGAAGCUUUUAGAAUUAUACUUUCAAAAUGGUUGUGCUUCAACUUUGCAUUCCACACCACUGAAAAAAGUUGAUUGAUAGAGAAUGUCAAAAACUCCUCUUCAGUUAUUCAAGAGUUGGUUGACAAUAAUAACUGAAAAAAUAAGCACUGAUGCAACUUUUGAAAAUGCAUUGCAAAUGCUAUACCAUCUGGCACUUUUGGACUGUACCUCCAGAAUAUUGUAACCGCUCUCCUCUUUAUUUGUGGUAGUUUGUUAUUUGGCAUAUUUUUUGCAAUUGUUCUUCUUCAUAAACCUGGAAUUGGAGGUAAUCAGAUACAUUUUCUCCAUGUUUGCCAGUACUCGAAAAGCUUGAUGCAGUCGAGACAUUUCCAGCUGCAUAACCGCCAUUCCACCAUCUUCACAUAGGGUUGCCAACUGUCCCAUAUUAGCUGGGACAUCCCAUAAUUUGUUGUCCCAUACUGGAUGCCUAGUACUGGAUAUUACCUUAAACCUUAUUCACAGCAGUGGCAUCUUUGAUUUAUGACAGGAAUGAAAACGAGGCUGACAGGGAUAAACGUAUAGUCUCUUCAAUAGUCUGUACUGAAGUUUAAAGUGUUUUUGGAUCAAUGCGCAGACAAAACAUAAAAAAAAUAAAAAAUCUUUCCAAGAACAUUUAGUAGACAAAAACUCCAUGAGCACAACAUGAGUUGUCGAAAAUCAGAUGGGAUCUAGGAGUUUUAUACAGCUUUAAACCAUGCGUGUCAUUAAAGAGAUGGAAAGUUUAUCCCUCACAGUCUCAUUUUCAUUCCCAUUAAAAAUCAAAGAUGGCGCUACUGUGAAUAAGGACUAUUUUAGAGUCUAUAAUAACACAAAAGUUCAAAUUCAGUGAUUUUUGGCUGCAAUAAUCAAGAAUAGGUGCUGUGGAAUCCUGGUAUGACCAUUUGUAGUAAUAUUUUCAAAGACUAUGAUUUUAAAUGCAGUCAUUUUAAAAUUUCAUUGUAUUUAGUCUGUUUAGUAGUGAACUGGGAUGCUGCAUCUGUGUUUCUUUGAGUAAAAUGGCUAUGACUGGCUGUAUCUCAGAUUCUUUUAACAAAUCACAGUAACAGUAAAAUCAUCAGUGACGAGAAGGUCUUUUGGAGAUAGAUUCCUGCAUACGGGUACAUACAGUGCUUUGCUCCAAAUUAAAAUAAAAGAACAGAACAAUUUGAGAAUAAAGCAUACACAAACGCCAAACACACACAUAUAAAUGAUUUAUGCUUUGAACUACACACAGAUUGUACAAUAUUUUGCAGCAGAUACUGUUUUACAACAGAAUACCAUUAAACUAAAGUGAAACAGUUGCUUCUUAAGCCUGAAAAGCUUAACACCAUU